AGGAUGUCGCAUCCUGGGCCUACGUAGUUUGUCAGACACAAACAUCAGAGUCGACGUAGUUCUUGGAACGGGAACGUGCUUGCUAGGAUGUCGCAUCCUAUGCAUACAUAUCUUCUCUAACCAGAAUAAGAAUCAGAGCACUCGUAGCUCGGCUAACGCACGCCGAAACAAAACACUGAACAAAGACGCUGAGACGACAAA
rnacentral:lncRNA from 1 species